rnacentral:rRNA from 1 species
CUACCCGGGUAUCUAAUCCUGUUUGCUCCCCACGCUUUCGCGUCUCAGCGUCAGUCACCGUCCAGAAGGCCGCCUUCGCCGCAGGUGUUCUGCUUGAUAUCUACGAAUUUCACCUCUACACCAAGCAUUCCACCUUCCUCUCCGGGACUCCAGCCAUGCAGUUUCGGAUGCACUUCCACGGUUGAGCCGUGGGCUUUCACAUCCGACUUGCAAAGCCGCCUACACGCGCUUUACGCCCAGUAAAUCCGAACAACGUUUGCACCCUCUGUCUUACCGCGGCGGCUGGCAC